UUCCAUUUAAAAUAAGUAAGUUAUUACAGCUUGAAUUUGUUAAUAGAACAAUCUAAUAUUUUGACCACCCUGUAAAAAGAUAGGUAUAGGAAACCCUAAUAAGAAUUGAAAGCUAAGUAUAUUUUCUGCGCGAUAGACUAGUAAGAUAUAGGGUGUUCUAUUUAAAAUAAGUGAGUUAUUACAGCUUGAAUUUGUUAAUAGAACAAUCUAAUAUUUUGACCACCCUGUAAAAAGAUAGGUAUAGGAAACCCUAAUACAAAUUGAAAGCUAAUUAAAUUUUCUACGCGAUAGACUAGUAAGAUAUAGGGUGUUCUAUUUAAAAUAAGUGAGUUAUUACAGCUUGAAUUUGUUAAUAGAACAAUCUAAUAUUUUGACCACCCUGUAAAAAGAUAGGUAUAGGAAACCCUAAUAAGAAUUGAAAGCUAAGUAUAUUUUCUGCGCGAUAGACUAGUAAGAUAUAGGGUGUUCUAUUUAAAAUAAGUGAGUUAUUACAGCUUGAAUUUGUUAAUAGAACAAUCUAAUAUUUUGACCACCCUGUAAAAAGAUAGGUAUAGGAAACCCUAAUACAAAUUGAAAGCUAAUUAAAUUUUCUACGCGAUAGACUAGUAAGAUACAGGGUGUUCCAUUUAAAAUAAGUAAGUUAUUACAGCUUGAAUUUGUUAAUAGAACAAUCUCAUAU